rnacentral:tRNA from 1 species
UAGAAAAUGACUGAGAGGCUAAGUGAUGUCUUUGAAAGACAUUGGACAAAGGUUCGAUUCCUUUUUUUCUUU